ACCACCUGCUUAAAGACCUUCUUGGCUAAAGGUUUCUGUAUGAAAGUUAAGAAUGAUUCUCGAGAGUCAGGCAUUUCUUAGACAAAGCCUUUAACAGUUCUUUUGGUGACAGAACCUCAUUUUGUGCAUUCACUUCAAAUGACUAAACCCCACCCACUUUUGCUACUGUGGUAAGUAUGAUAGCUCAGAAUUCACUGCUAAUAGGAUGACAGUGAAUUUGAGCUUCCUUUUCAGGGUAGACAGCUUUUUUGUCUUGCAAUUAAAAAAAAAAGGGUGUGUUUAUGCACGUGUUUUGUAGCAUCAGCAAUGCCAUCAGGUAACAGAGCAGAUCCCAAGGAAGAAGUGUCUUUGGUUAGAUUGAAAAGGAAGAUAGUGAAAGGAAAAAAUGCCAUUUUUGGUGUAGUAUUUCUUCACUAACUGGACUUGGUGAUCUCAUAACUUUUCUGGGAUUUCCUCCAUGCCCAGUCUCUGUGUUAAUUCAUCUUACUGCAAAAUGGAGCUUGCACCUGAAGGUCUGCCUGUGUAAGUGGCUGAUGUUCCAAUUCUGUUUAUUUAAAAAACAGUAAUUUGUUAUUAAAAUACACAACAGUAUCAGAGUGGGGUUUAGGGUAAAUGGUGCUUCUUGCUUCCUAAAAGGGAUCACACUAACAGGAUAAAUUUGUCUUGAAUUUAUUCUGCCAGGUUCUUGUCUGGUUUUUUUCUCCCAGUUUUGUUGUUUCUAUUCUGCACUGGUUAUCGUAUUGAGUAUUAAUAAGAAGUAGCACCUGAAAUGCAAGCCUGUGUGUUCUAGUGUAAAACGAAGUACGAAGCAGCACUGCACACUACAAGGAUAUUGCUGGCUUUGCCAUAUUCCAGAGGGGCAGUAACAAACCCAGAAAAAAAUCAUUGGGAUGCUAAAUUUUUAUUCUACUACCUGUUGUUUGAGUCUGCAAGUAUAAAUAUUUAGAGUAAAGAAGCUCAGAGCGGGUUCUGCAGUUUGCAGUAAUGGGAGUAAGUGCAACAUCUGAGGUGAGAAAAUCUUUCCGUGUCCUGAUUUUAUUCUUCAAAAGGGAAUCUUCAGCUACUUGGAACAUACGCUAUAAAUAAAAAAUAGCAGAAUAUCUAAUCUAAGCCUCCUUAGCGCUGAAAAUUCUUUAAGUAUUCUUAGAGGUUAAUAUUUUAUUUUAGGACACAGAAGCAAAGUGCUACAGUUCACUCACUUCCUCAUUUUUUGAAUGCUCAAAGCAAAGCAGAAAAGACAAAUAUGAGAAGGCACUGCCAAGCUGUGCUGAAGAAAAGGUAGCAGUGAUCUUGAUGAUCACUGAACUUCCAGAUCUGUUAAAAGGCAACACAUUUGCAGUGCAGAGGCACACUGUUGUUCUGGGGACUCUCACUUGUGCAUCUUCUGCAUCAUCUCCAGCCUUCUGAAGACUCAUGACCAUGAAGGACAGAGGAGACGACUGAACUACUACAGGGCAGUACUACCGCCCUCUCACAAUUCCAAUCAACAACUUCCUGAGGGAAUACAGAAAGUACAAAUUAUAUCACAUGCAAUUUCCUUUCAGAUACCCUGAUGUCAUAAAGCAAAAAAGACCCCCCUCAUUCUGCUGGGAGUGCUCUUUCCAGCGCUGCCCAGGAUGCUCUUGGCUCUUGCGGCAAGGGCACAUAGCUGGCUCACAUUCAUCUUGUCCAGCAAGAUUUCCAGGUACUUUUUGCAAAGCUGCUUUGAGCAGUCACAUGAGCUGGUCCUGUACUCCCCAGGUACAGGACUUUGCUCUUCCCUUUGUUAAACUUCAUGAGGUUCACGUCUGCCUAUUUCUUCAAGCUGUUGAAGUCCUCUGAAAGACAUACAGCACUUGGUGUAGGCAACAUCUCCUCCCACCCUUGGAACAUCUGCAAACUUGCUGAGGUUCCAAUUCUCUGCUGUCAUCCAGAUCAGUAAUGAAGAAGUUAAACAGUAUUGGCCCCAGUAUUGACCUCUGAGAUAUAUCACUGUUGACUGGUCCCUAGCUGGACUUCAUACUGUUGGCCACAACCCUGUUAGACUGGCAGUUCAGCUAAUUCUCAGUACACCUCACUGUACACUUAUUUAGUCUGUAUUUCAUCAGUUUGCCUAUGAGACUGUUAUGAGAGAUACUGUCUAAAGCCUUAACUAAGGUUGGGAUUAGUAAAAUAUCCCCUCUCUGCAUGCUCGGUGUCUCUGUAUUCCACCAGAUCCCCUGUCCCUGCUUCCACCUGUGGUACACUUCAUUUUUAUGUUUGGGUUUUGUCAGGAGCUCCUUGCUUGUGUUCAUCCAUGCAGGCCUCCUUGCAUUUAUGCACGGGUGUUUCUUUUCAAGUAGGAGCAAAAAGGAGGAGAAGGAAAUGCUUCGUGUGAGUGCAGUCUCUAAGAAGACGGUCCCCAAAGUAGAGGAGGUCUGCUGGGAGACUGCAUCCACAGGAAGAAGUCUGGUCUGUAGGGAUGAUGGCUGCUGGAGCAUCUCUCUUUCCCUGCUGUGCCACUGAGGAAAGCAGCGUCUUGUCAUCAGGGACAAGCCUCUUGGAUAGCAGAAAUUGCUCUGUACUAGUUGCAAUGGCAAUAGGCAGACUGCAAGGGACAAGAAAGGCAAACCUAGAGAUCAAAUUCAUCAAAACAAGACAGGAUGAUAUUGGAAAUAUUCCUGGACACCUGGAAGACAACUUUGGGCUUAGAUCUGCUCAGCCUUCCUCCUCCUCUGCCCUAGAUGCUACUUUUUGACACGUCUGUUUCAUAAAUGAAACCCCUAUUCCACACAUGUAUAAGCCAACACUUUCAAACACUUGCCUCCACAAAGAAUAUUUUCCUUCAGACGAGGACUGAAUGAAGGCAGAACUGCAUGGAAACUCAGCAUAUUGUAAGCAAAACAGCCUAGAGCAUUCAUCUCAUAUCUCAUCUCAUGUCAUCUCAUUGUAUAGUUCCAUGUGACCACUAAACUGGCUGGUCAUGGCUAGUGGCCACUAGCAAGGCGAAGGUCUUAUCGUAGGCCACUAGUUGCAAGGCAGAGGUUUUACCCUAGGCUGUGCUCUUCCAUUGUCAUUUUUGUGUUGGCAUUGCUGCCAACCUUGGCUGGCAUUGGCUGGGCUGGGGUAAACCAGGAUGGAAGCUCUGCAGGGCAGAGAUAAGCCAAGAAGAGAUUUCUUGCAGUGUCUCACCCAGGCCAGGUGAGAGCCAGCAGAGCCUCAGAGGAAGCAAUUCAAAGAGGAAAGCCACAGUAGCACUGAUUUAGAUCAAUCUAAAUUCCUAUACUAGUGUGUGCUUUCUCAGUGAGGCACUUCCUUCUCCUGCCUCUGCUCUGUCCUAGGCACUGCUAUCUCUCCCCCAGUGCUCCUUCUGAGGCUGCUUUGGAGCCCUUGUGAGUUGACUCAGCUCACCAACCUCACAGAAAAAAAACCCUCUUCAUUUGCUUGUUGGAUUGAUUCAAUGUGUAAUUAUAUGAAUCCCAUAACUCUUUGAGGGAAAGGGGGAGUGAAGGAAGAAGUUGGAGGAGAAGAUGAAACUGUCCUUUUUUGAUGGUCAAACCAUUAUUGCCAUCCACUGAGGGUGCAAUUUGAUGUUACACCUAACCAAUCUGACCAUGCAAGGUGCAACUGAAGAUAACAGUGCUAAACUCACUAAUCUGAUGUAAAGUGAACUCUUUUCUUUGUUGAGUUGCCACAAAGCUGUGUGAUUGCUAAAUCCAGUUCAAGAGAAGCUGCAGGAAUGUCUGUGUGGAACUUUUUGGGAAGAACAGAACUGUUGUAUUUUGUGGCAAUCUCCACUUAGGUUGUGCUAUCAGGAUGUUAAACUGUCCUCUUUGCAUGCUUUCAGAAGGGAUAAAAACAAAACUCAGCUUUUCAAAAAAAAUUUAUUUUUGAGUUGGGUCAACACAGUGAUCUGACUUAACAGCUGCAAAACAGUUCGUCCUAAACCAGAGAGAGAAUGAAAAGAUAAAGUGAGGGGCAGGAGAUAGGAGAAUCUCUUCUUUGAUAGCAGUGUGCUCUUACAUUGGCUGAUGCUGAACAUGGAACUGCUCCCCAAGAAAGGGAGUCCAGUCAGCUUUUUGUAGUAAACAGCUCGUCGAAAUGAUCUAACUUUAAAAAAUUCAUUAUCUUUUACUUUUGCAAACUGUGUUUUCACUGGCCUCACAAGCAGAUGACUUUAUGGGAGAAUGGGAGAAUUAAGAACUGCACCAGAGAGUGAUUGACUAUGAAAUUGGGAAGGAACUUAGCUGGCUUGACCAUCAGGAAAGUUGUAAUGUGGUAUUAUGCUCUGGAUUUUCUACAGUAGCUUGUAAUGAAGAAGAAUAAAGAUGUACCUCAG